GGGCGUUUGGCGCAGUUGGCAGCGCGCAUGCUUAGCAAUAAUCUUCAGAGCUAAUAUGCAUGAGGUCAUGGGUUCAAUUCCCAUAAUGUCCA